ACGUAGGUGGCAAGCGUUGUCCGGAAUUAUUGGGCGUAAAGCGCGCGCAGGCGGGAUAAUAAGUCUGUUGUUUAAGUGCGGGGCUCAACCCCGUAUAGGCAAUGGAAACUGAUAUUCUUGAGUGCAGGAGAGGAAAGUGGAAUUCCUAGUGUAGCGGUGAAAUGCGUAGAUAUUAGGAGGAACACCAGUGGCGAAGGCGACUUUCUGGACUGUGUCUGACGCUGAGGCGCGAAAGCCAGGGGAGUGAACGG
rnacentral:rRNA from 1 species